GAUCAAGCGCGAUAAGGGCGUUUGGUGGAUGCCUUGGCAGCAAGAGGCGAUGAAGGACGUGAUACCCUGCGAUAAGCCAUGGGGAGCCGGGAAUAGGCUUUGAUCCAUGGAUCUCCGAAUGGGGAAACCCACCUGACAGCUCAUUAUAAUUACCUCGGUAGUUUAUAAUGGACUGAAACAGGUACUUUUACCCUGAAUACAUAGGGGUUUAAGAGCGAACCCGGGGAACUGAAACAUCUAAGUACCCGGAGGAAAGGAAAUCAAUAGAGACUCCGCUAGUAGUGGCGAGCGAACGCGGACCAGCCGAGCCAUGAGAAUGACCAGAACCGUUUGGAAAGACGGGCCAUAGUGGGUGACAGCCCCGUAUGGGAAGUUCAAUUGGACGUAUUAAGUAGGGCGGGACACGUGAAAUCCUGUCUGAAGAUCGGGGGACCACCCCCGAAGGCUAAGUACUCCU
rnacentral:rRNA from 1 species